rnacentral:lncRNA from 1 species
UCCAAAGGAGGAUUGAUAGGCAAAAUCAAAACCGGAACCAAAGGGCUAUUGACAGGGUGGCGAAGCGUGUGCAGCCUCAGCCUGAGCAGCACAAUGAGGAGCAGCACAAUGUGGAGGCUGAGCCUCCGCCUGAGCAGCACAAUGAGGAGGGUGGGCCUCAGCCCGAGGAUGAGCAGCACAAUGAGGAGGAGGAGCCUCAGAAUUUGUUGCUGGAUAAUGUGGAUAAUGAGAAUUUGGGGCCUCAUGAUCUGUCGCCUGAGAAUUUGGGGCCUCAGAAUUUGUUGACUGCGGGGGAUGGGGAGAGGGAGGAGCAGGCUGUGGAUAAUGUGGAUAAUGAGAAUUUGGGGCCUCAUGAUCUGUCGCCUGAGAAUUUGGGGCCUCAGAAUUUGUUGACUGUGGGGGAUGAGGAUGAGGAUGAUAUGCCGGCUGAUAAUCUGAAUUCGGAGGAUGAUAAUCUGAAUUUAGAGGAUGAUCCGCCUCUUCACAAUGAUAAUCUGAAUUUGGUGGCUGAUCCGCCUAUUCAGCCUGUGGUUAAUCUGAAUUUUGUGGCUGAUCCGCCUAUUCAGCCUGAGCCUGUGGUUAGGGAGCCUCCGCGUGGGGAUAUGCGGGACCAAGGGGCUAAUAGUAAGAGGGCGGUGAAGGUGCCUGUGGUUAGGGAGCCUCUGCGUGGGGAUAUGCGGGACCAAGGGGCUAAUAGUAAGAGGGCGAAGAAGACGGAUAAGAGAGAGCAGGCUCAGGAUGGGUUCAAUCACUUUAGGCCCAAGGAUGAGAAUGAAGUUAAAGCGUAUUUAUUCAAGCUCGCAUUUAAAAGUCUACGCCUCUGUAAGGCUAUGGAAAUAAUUUUGAAAGAAAUGCCUACUGAAAAUUCUUCCAUAGGCUGGGAGGAUUUUAUCCAUAUGGUUCACAAAUCGCUUGAGGAAAUUUUUGACACCUAUCAGGUACAAUU